rnacentral:rRNA from 1 species
AUUGAACGCUAGCGGGAUGCCUUACACAUGCAAGUCGAACGGAGUGGCGAACGGGUGAGUAAUGUAUCGGAACGUGCCCAGUAGCGGGGUAUAACUACGCGAAAGCGUAGCUAAUACCGCAUACUAUUGGAGCGGCCGAUAUCGGAUUAGCUAGUUGGUGGGGUAACGGCUCACCAAGGCGACGAUCCGUAGCUGGUUGGAGAGGACGACCAGCCACACUGGGACUGAGACACGGCCCAGACUCCUACGUGAGGCAGCAGUAGGGAAUUUUGGGCAAUGGGGGAAACUCUGAUCGAGCAAUCCCGCGUGAGUGAUGAAGGUUUUCGGGUCGUAAAGCACUGUUGGUAGGGAAGCGGUAUCUGCAGAAUAAGCAACGGCUAACUCCGUGCCAGCAGCCGCGGUAAUAC